GCCCUGACUGUAUUGAAAUUCUAACCUACGGGUCUUAUCGACCCGGGAGACAGUGUCAGGUGGGCAGUUUGACUGGGGCGGUCGCCUCCUAAAGUGUAACGGAGGCGCCCAAAGGUUCCCUCAGAAUGGUUGGAAAUCAUUCGUAGAGUGCAAAGGCAUAAGGGAGCUUGACUGCGAGACCUACAAGUCGAGCAGGGACGAAAGUCGGGCUUAGUGAUCCGGUGGUUCCGCAUGGAAGGGCCAUCGCUCAACGGAUAAAAGCUACCCCGGGGAUAACAGGCUUAUCUCCCCCAAGAGUCCACAUCGAC
rnacentral:rRNA from 1 species